AAAUUUUAAUAAACUACAAAUAGUUUACACUUAUUUUUAGGAUAAUAUAUAUGUAUUGCUUGUUAUUCGGUGUAUUUCGGUGUAUUUUUAUAAUUUUUACUAAAAAUUUAAAACUACAGCAUUUGUCAUUAAGUCAUUAAAAAAAUAAUAUAAGGUACACGAAAGGCAAAAAGUAAAUAAUUUGCCAGCAAAUUAUAAUUAAAAACUUAAAAUGUAAGAUAAAAACAAAAAUUAGUUUUUGUAAUUAUAUUUAGAAAGCAAUUAAAAAAGGACGUAAAACCAUAUUGAAAUUGCAGUUGAAGAGAAAAUGAAAAUAAAAUAAAUUUACAUUUUGCAAAGAAGAAAUACACAAACACGGCAACGCAAAUUCGUACCAAUGUUAAUAAACAAAAACUAUGUUGAAAAGAUUUUUGUGGAAUAUGUCAAAAUGAACACAGUGCUAAUAUUCAAUUAAAUAUGUAAACUGCAAUCGGGCUUCGAGUAGAUUUCAAAAGAAGUGAUUCAUCUAAUUUGCUUCGCCUGUGGUGUGUGUGCAUUGGUUCUUUUUCACCCCUGCUCUCUUAUCGGCUAAAGGCUUUUACGAUCUUCCGAGAAUUAUAGCUUUGAAAAAUAGACAAAAAGUUUAUACAUUCUUCGAUACAAAUAGAACGAAAUUGUGUUUGUUUAAAGCUUUUCUAAUUACAAUUCACAUAGAGAAGUAAAAUUAUACAGAUUUUCAAUUUUUCUAUGGAAAAAUAGAAUUAAGCCUUAUAAUUAUGAGAAAGAGUAUCACGAAAGAGAAACCGAAAGGCUCUAAUCGAUUACGGAAAAGCAAUUGUCAGACACACAAGUGGUUUGGUACCUCUGCAAUAUAUAAGACCUUUUGUGGUCUCAAGAUAAAAAAGGUUAGUAGACGGGGUAUAUCAAAAAUUUGCUUAAGUUAUGAGCAGGUAAAUCUAGAUCAUCUUGUUGUUAUAGCAGUGUUUGAGGUUGCAGCCCUUAACGAUGAGGUCAAUCCAGAACUUACAACUGGUUAGAUUAUAUCCACAAUGUGCUAUCAGACUCUGAUAGUUUUCGACCAUUGUGAUAGCCCUCAUAAAAUUAAAAAUAAUAGGGUGAUCAAGUAUGACAAAUGACCCCUAGUUGUUUUAGUUAUAAGGUUAGGUUAUAUUAUGUUAGCAGACGGCAAUCAAAUUUAAAUUUUAAUCUGUCUGCAAGACACAAGUUAUUCUAGUUUUCACACUCACUACGGACCAAUUAAGUUCAUGGUGCUCUAAAGUUCUAUGCCAAUCUAAAGUUCCAGCGUCCAUCUAACAAUGCAUGGUGCUGAGCUAGUAAAUUAUGCAUUUAUUACUCGGUUCUGAUAAAAAGUUGUGUUGAGUAUCCAAAGUUCGGUCCGGCCGCAAUAAAUCCGUAUUUACCUGUUUAAUGAAGAUUUUUAUGCGAUCUCCGGCAUAUGGUUCAAAAAUUCAGUGAGUUUUUAAGAAAUCGCAAAAAGUUAUGGCCCCGAUGUUUAGUAUUAUUAUUUAGAGAGCACAACAAGCCGAUUACUGGGUUAGGUGUAUGUACAUAGUGGCAUGUGGCGAAUUAAUAUUCUUCUUUUUAAUCUUACCUAACCUUUAGCGUCUAAAUGUUAUAGAGAUUAUAGGUGGCCAAAGAUUACAAACUUUCUCUUACCAUGAUUAGUGACCCCGGCCACCAAAAAAUUUUAACUGAAAGUCUAUCCUCCUCUAUAAUUGUCUGGCAUAGUUUAUAACGCUCAGAUCAAUUGAUCAAAAGCUGUGGAUAGAGAUGAGAUACGACAGUCGAAAUGUUCGUGUAUCGAAGGGUUGUUGGUUUUCCCUUCGAUAAUAAACAACAACUACAGCGAAGCAUAUGUCAAACUUCGUUAUUGUGAGAGACUACAAGAUUUCCUUUACCCUGCACAACUUGGUGUUGUAUUAAAGAGAAUCGAAGUAACAGUUGUCUUUGAAAUUAAUAGAGUUACGUGUGAUGAUAAGAGCUGCAUACCUAAGCACUGCAAAAAGAAUAUAAACAAUUACAAUUAUUCAACGAAAAUAGUAAAAAUACAAGAGAAGUAAUAAAUUGCCGGCCGAGACUAAAUAGAUAUUUUAUUCUGGCAAUAAAUUAUUAUCUGCAUAUGGAAUAAAGAAAUAUUAAAAUUUUCAAAUAAUAAUCGAAGGCAUUACCACAAAAUUGGAGAAAAAUAAUGUUUAACAUUUCUUCAAAGCAUCACCAAACAUACAUGGCAUCCGGUUGUACGUACCGGAUUGACCUGAUGAAGUCCUUCAUCGGCAAGGACAUCACACUGCUACAACAACAACAACCAAACAGACCGCAGUUGCGUCGGUAUAGAGUGAACUAAUUGGGGUUUUUUUAAAUAUAUGUUUAAUCAUUUAUUUAUUUAAACAAGUUUGCUCUUAAGGAUCAAAAAUAGUUUUCCCGAAUGAGAGAUGUCUAAA
rnacentral:sRNA from 1 species